AUGACCACCAUUCGAGUGUUACUUUCCUUGGCUGCCUCUUAUGGUCUUAUCAUUCAUCAAAUGGAUGUAAAGACAGCUUUUCUCAAUGGAGAGUUGGAAGAGGAGAUCUAUAUGGAUCAGCCUGACGGGUUUGUGGUAAAGGGUGAAGAGAGAAAGGUGUGCAAGUUGUUAAAAUCUUUGUAUGGUCUGAAACAGGCACCUAAGCAAUGGCAUGAGAAGUUUGAAAGAACUUUGACUUCUGCAGGAUUUGUCAUUAACGAGGCUGAUAGGUGUGUCGAUAGUGUCAUAUUAUGUUUGUAUGUGGACGACAUACUGAUCUUUGGUACAAACAUUAAUGCAAUUAAUGAGGUCAAGUCUUUUCUAUCAAAAAGUUUUGACAUGAAAGAUCUGGGAGAAGCCGAUGUAAUUCUAAACAUCAAACUUAUUAAGGAUGAGAGUGGGAUUACAUUAACGCAAUCUCACUAUGUUGAGAAGGUCUUGAACCGAUUCGGUUUUAUGGAUAGCAAGCCUUCUCCAACACCUUAUGAUCCCAGCGUGACACUCAGAAAGAACAAGAAAGAAACGAGAGAUCAAUUAAGAUACUCUCAAAUUGUCGGUUCACUCAUGUACUUAGCUAGCGCUACAAGACCAGAUAUCUCUUUUGCUGUGAGCAAACUGAGUAGGUUCAUGUCCAACCCGGGUGAUGAUCAUUGGCAUGCACUAGAAAGGGUCUUGCGCUAUCUGAGAGGUACUAUGAGUUACGGAAUUACUUAUUCAGGGCAUCCUGCUGUGCUAGAAGGAUAUAGUGAUUCAAAUUGGAUCUCCGAUGUUGAUGUACUUUACGCAACAAGUGGGUAUGUAUUUACUUAUGGUGGUGGCGCAGUGUCAUGGAGGUCUUGUAAGCAAACCAUAUUGACGAGGUCAACUAUGGAAGCAGAAUUAACUGCUUUAGACACAGCUACUGUUGAGGCAGAAUGGCUGCGUGAGCUCUUGAUGGACUUGCCGGUUGUUGAAAAACCUGUACCGGCUAUUCUUAUGAAUUGUAAUAACCAAACGGUUAUCGCUAAAGUGAACAAUUCUAAAGAUAAUGCAAAGUCAUCAAGACAUGUGAAAAGACCCAUAGCAAUUUCUGAAAUCUCAAAGCCCAUGUGUAAAAUGGCAAGUGGUGGUGCUAAGUUUAGUCCCACCUUGGAAGUUGAAGAAGACUUCCUUUUGCCG
rnacentral:rRNA from 1 species